rnacentral:rRNA from 1 species
UGGGAACGUACCUCUUGGUUCGGAACAACACAGGGAGACUUGUGCUAAUACCGGAUAAGCCCUUACGGGGAAAGAUUUAUCGCCAAGAGAUCGGCCCGCGUCUGAUUAGCUAGUUGGUGAGGUAACGGCUCACCAAGGCGACGAUCAGUAGCUGGUCUGAGAGGAUGAUCAGCCACACUGGGACUGAGACACGGCCCAGACUCCUACGGGAGGCAG